GUAAAUGAAGCUACCAAAUCUUUAGUAAUUGAAACAUUGGUAAAAUGUACAUAUUACCAAAAUCCGGUAAAACUGAUGUCAGAUGUAAUGUACAUCUCUACCAGAGAUUCGUACAUUUUACUUUAUUUACCAUUUGUAACCUUCAAUGUGUUCAUUCCUAGCAACUGUGAAGUGCGCACUUUGUGAUCGCCAUUUGUUUUGUGGAAGCGAAGCAAUUUGGAGAUGUUUCCAAGUAUACCCAUUUUGGACGACGUUUUUCCUAUUCUAUCACUGAAUGCUUCCAAUUUGCGAUCAGUCGUAAACGAACAUUUUACAACAGCCAUGAUUCGAUGCUAAUAUUUUGGCUACAAACUAAGGAAAGGAAGAACAGCAUGCAUCGAUGACUCUCUAGGAAAACCGUCGUGAUUCGUUUUUUCUACAAACUAAUAACCUAUGCAUGAUAAUGAUGUAUCAGGAUGAUUCAAUCAACUGUUUUUCUCAACCGGAGGAAGACAUGGAGCAUGAAGAACGUCAGAACCGACUACGUGCUCUGUGCAAUCGUGAGGAUCUGUUCCAGGAGAAGAGUGUGUUGAAUUUGAUACUGGAAAGCAUCGACAAAAUCAACGUCAUAUCGUCACUAGGUUUCAUGGUUUCCUCCUGGCUAAUGAUGAAAAAGUUGUGAGUUGAUCUCCGGGUAUCUGUUCCAACUACUAGCGGUUGUCAUCAAGGAAAACUCAGUUUGCUAACUCAAAUCAUUUUAAUUGGCUCAUCUCCCAUCUUGGAACGCAAGCAUCCCGUAAGGACUCCGGAUCCUUCGUAAAUAUCUCGCCUCUCGAGUACCAUAAUCGUGCUCCGAAGAUUUUGUAUGUGUUGUGUUGACUGUGUGUUGGUAAUAGUCGGUAUUCCUGCUAUCCUCGUUCAUCGUGUUUGUUUUACAGAUUUUAAUCUAACUGGAAUGUUUUUUUUCCGGUGAGGAGCUGCUCGUCGAAGCUAAGUUGUCAAUUUUGUUUUGGUUUCCGCGUUUCGGUCUGCGAUAUUGAACCCUAAGAUGGAAGAAUUCGUCGAUCUGCUAGUCGAGAGCACUUACAACUUGUGAGAUCACUCUUUGUCUCACAAGUUGUAAGUGCUAAUUCAACAAAGUUAAACGAAGACAACGAAAUCCAUCGUAGCUCCCAUUCAGUUUCGUACAGCAUAUACGGCUAUGGCGCCUAUCAGAAAGCUGUCGAUCUAGGGAUACAACUUGGACCAACCAACUGGUGAGACGAAUGAGCCCCUUGUGGCGGAAGCGUUCACACAGAACUUCGCAACCAUCAGAACAUACCUAGCGGAGAAGACGUAUGCUGUUACGUCAAGAAAGACAUACUUUUAGUUUGAGGACUGCAAUUCCGAAACGAUGCUGGGGAAUAAUGAUCCAUCGUGUGCUUUUGAUGGCUACAAUAUAAGCAUCAAAUCCGAUUAUUCAAUACGACCAAUCACUACCCCUCAAUCCAAUGUAGUCGUUUUGUUACAAGAAAAUGCCUAGUGAAGACACACUUCCACUGCCUCAUCAUAAGCAAAACACAUAGAUAGUUGUCGGAAAAUCUAGAUUGAAUUUCAAAUGUAAGUUCAUAUGAACCCUUCUUCGAACUCUGAGGCAUUUCAGAGCAUCACAAUUAAAUGGACGCGCGAAUAGGCACGCAAACUACACCUGCGCAGGGUCAAAGAUUUCGGUAGUCGAUAUCUGGUCGGAGACGUAAUCUUUUCCUUCGUAAAUAUCCACGACAAGAUCGUAAGUAGGCACAAUCUUCCGAAUACCGGAGCUUCUUAUUGUACAUUUUUUAUUACUUUUCUUCAUACUUGUGUUCAUGGAACUGUUCGGUCGUAGUCACAUCUCUCUGGCACGAGAGAAAUAAAUACAAACUAAGAGUACUGGGUACCGGUGUCAUCGACUGCCUGCUAAUCACCACCUCAUUCCCUAGAGGCAGCGAUGCAGUGGAAGAGGAGUUAUUGCGACGAGAAUUAUUGUUGUUUUUAUAUAUUACAAUGUUUUUUUUAUUGUAGAACUAUUUAAAUUGUAUAUAGAAUAAGUUGUUAGUGAAAUAUUAUAUAACAAUAACAUGUUAUCAAACACAGGAUUUUAAA